rnacentral:rRNA from 1 species
UGCAGUUCGAGCGAAUGGAUUGAGAGCUUGCUCUCAUGAAGUUAGCGGCGGACRGGUGAGWAACACGUGGGUAACCUGCCCAUAAGACUGGGAUAACUCCGGGAAACCGGGGCUAAUACCGGAUAACAUUUUGAACUGCAUGGUUCGAAAUUGAAAGGCGGCUUCSGCUGUCACUUAUGGAUGGACCCRCGUCRCAUUAGCURGUUGGUGAGGUAACGGCUCAMCAAGGCAACGAUGCGUAGMCRACCUGAMAGGGUGAUCGGCCACWCUGGGACUGASACACRGCCCASACUCCUACGGGAGGCAGCAUUARGGAAUCUUCCGCAAUGGACGAAAGUCUGACGGAGCAACGCCGCGUGAGUGAUGAAGGCUUUCGGGUCGUAAAACUCUGUUGUUAGGGAAGAACAAGUGCUAGUUGAAUAAGCUGGCACCUUGACGGUACCUAACCAGAAAGCCACGGCUAACUACGUGCCAGCAGCCGCGGUAAUACGUAGGUGGCAAGCGUUAUCCGGAAUUAUUGGGCGUAAAGCGCGCGCAGGUGGUUUCUUAAGUCUGAUGUGAAARCCCACGGCUCAMCCGUGGAGGGUCAUUGGAAACUGGGAGACUUGAGUGCAGAAGAGGAAAGUGGAAUUCCAUGUGUAGCGGUGAAAUGCGUAGAGAUAUGGAGGAACACCAGUGGCSAAGGCGACUUUCUGGUCUGUAACUGACACUGAGGCGCGAAAGCGUGGGGAGCAAACAGGAUUAGAUACCCUGGUAGUCCACGCCGUAAACRAUGAGUGCUA